rnacentral:rRNA from 1 species
AUUGAACGCUGGCGGCAUGCUUUACACAUGCAAGUCGAACGGUAACAGGUUAAGCUGACGAGUGGCGAACGGGUGAGUAAUGCAUCGGAACGUGCCCGGUCGUGGGGGAUAACACUUCGAAAGAAGUGCUAAUACCGCAUACGAUCUGAGGAUGAAAGCGGGGGACCGUAAGGCCUCGCGCGAUUGGAGCGGCCGAUGUCAGAUUAGGUAGUUGGUGGGGUAAAGGCCCACCAAGCCGACGAUCUGUAGCUGGUCUGAGAGGACGACCAGCCGCACUGGGACUGAGACACGGCCCAGACUCCUACGGGAGGCAGCAGUGGGGAAUUUUGGACAAUGGGCGCAAGCCUGAUCCAGCAAUGCCGCGUGCAGGAAGAAGGCCUUCGGGUUGUAAACUGCUUUUGUACGGAGCGAAAAGGCUCUCUCUAAUACAGGGGGCUGAUGACGGUACCGUAAGAAUAAGCACCGGCUAACUACGUGCCAGCCGCCGCAGUAA